rnacentral:lncRNA from 1 species
AGUGCCCCCUAUGGGGCGAACAGGCCAGAUGGCUGCACUGGGUGCUGCAGUGAGCCCAUAGAAGGCUUUUUAUUGUUUCCAACAACUUUGGAAGAAUAAUAUCCAGCAUAAUGGAAGGAAUUCCUAGCUGGGUGGUUGAGUUGCAUAGGUGCUCCUCUCGUGAUCUGGGCUUCCCUACAAGAAAUGGCUCAAGGAGUCCUUCAGGCUGCACUAAAUAGUAACUGGAAUCCACACAAAGAAAUAAAGCACACACUAAAGGUACUUGACAACCUGCAACAGCAGCACAGGCUACUGUCUUCAUGGCUGCCUCCCAGCUCACCAGCAGGUGGGAGAAUUGGUCUGAAUAAAGUGGUUCGCUGUUACAAAACUGGAAUACCUAAAAGUGAAUUGAAAUCAGC